rnacentral:lncRNA from 1 species
GGCUGACUGCCACUGGGAAAGGAUCUCUGAUUAGUGGUCUCUCCAGUGUUGAGCUUCUUUUGAGAGCCUGGGUCUUUGGAGAAAACACAAAGAUUGACCUGAUGGACUACUAGUUUUAGGUACAUCUCAUACUGGGAGAAUGAUGGCAGGAAUAGCUCAACACUCAACUUGCUGGACAACCCCACAGCCCUGUUCCUUGCCAUGGUCCCCCAUGUUACACUGGAAUCAGCCUUGCCAGCUCGCUCAGCCUGACAUUGAUGUGCUUUGCUUACACCUCAUUGUGUGCCAUGAUGUGAUGUGAGAUUUGCUUUUUUGGGCUUUGGGAAAGAGGUGUGAAGAAGAGAGGGACCAAAAUGAUGGGAGUCAAGGACUGACAAGUGAUGUCUUACCCAUAUUCCAAACAGUCCUCUUGAAUGUUCGGAGAACCCCACGCAAGGAGUCUCGAUCCGCUCCUUGGAGUCCCCCUGAAAGCCUAAAACAAGCUUUUCAUCUCUGCCCAGUGCUUCACCUGGUUCUGAAUAAUUUUGUUUCUUCCUCUUAUAUCUAUUACAUUAAAAGUUACUUUCAAAGGAAAUUGUUGCAUCAACAAGCACUCAGAAAACAUAAAUCAACUGUGUUCUCUUUGCAGCCCUUGAUUUACCCCCUACACAACAGGCUUUAUUUGCAGUGUUGCAUAAUAUAUUUCCCACGGUGCUGUGGCCUUAUUCUGCACGUGGAAAGGGCAAUACUUAAC